rnacentral:lncRNA from 1 species
GAUGGGUCUGAUUCAGAUUUUGGAUUAGUUUGAUUUUGGACUUCAGACUAGUCUGGAUCUGACUUCGGAUUGGUCUGAUUCUGACUUCAGAUCAGUCUUGAUCUGGCUUCAGAUUGGUCUUGAUCUAGCUUCGGAUCGAUCUUUAAUUUUUGCUUUGAAUUAUGUGCUCAAGAAUUCAUUGUUCUGCAAGAAAGGAAGGAAAUAGAAUAGUGGAAGGGGCUUGAGAAUCUCUUACCAUGAGAGUUCUUUUUAUUGGAAAGCCCUAAGGUUUUGCUUAACUCCUUCC